rnacentral:tRNA from 2 species
CCCCUUGUAGUGUAAUGGAUAACACGUGAGAUUCCGGUUCUUAUAAUGAAGGUUCGAUUCCUUUCAAGGGGA